AGCAAAGAGCACGUGCCUACCUACCCACUAACACCCUUGCUGAUUAAGGCAGCCACCCCAAAGCAGCCCAUGUCAACCCAAGAAAGGCAUCACUCCUCCCCCUCUUCCCAGCUCACCUGUGACCUCCCUCUGGUGCGAGUUGAUCUCUUGUCUCCCCUUGGCAGAAACCUCAGCUGGAGAAGCUCCUGUGCCAAGUGUGCCAGGCAAUUCAGGCUGCUUUACUUCAGAGCUGGAGCUAACAGGUAUAUUAGCAAAAGCAGCAACUAAAAGUCAGCAGACAGAUGCAUUGCCUCUAGCUACUAAGAUACCAUUGAAGAUCUACUGCUUGACAUCUGUGUCCAUAGGAAGUCCUUUGCUUUGGAUAUUGAAGCAGAUGCCAGGCCUUCUUGGAUCUUUGACAAGAAAGGAGACCUUUAUACUUGGCUGGUUCCUAUGUCUUAGAUGCACUUCCUUAUCAUCUGGUCUAUGCAGCAAUUUACUGCUUCAUAAGAGGUGAUAGCACCAAUAAGUCAAGAAGCUCUUUGUUUUGUCUUUCUCUGUGGGUUGAAUGUCACGUGAAACCUGCCAUGGUCUGCAUUCUUGGCAGAGCAAUUUUCAGUGCUGUCAAGAGGAUAGGAGCAAGGAGAGCAUUUACUUGUAAAGAGGCACGCAUAAGAAUUAACCUCAGAGGAAUUACCUGUUUUGUCUACACUAUGGAGAAGGAGCAUGGUGAAAAGGAUGGCUUGCAAAGUACAACUGAAUUAACGAUGGACAAAUUUUUCAUCAGUGAAAGGCUUUGCCUGUCAAAUGAUUAUCACUAUAUCUAAAUAUGAGGUGCUACCUUGCAGUAAAAAGUUCAUUCCCAUCUGUACUUACAGACCAGCACAAGAUCCAGGAGCCAUUUUGAUCUCUGUGAUGAUCAACACAAAGAACACAACAUCUCAUCCAGCAUCAUCAGAAGCACUAAACCAGACAGAGUUCCCCAUCAGCCCAUACCAAGUCACCUCAGACAAGGCUGAACAAAAGGUCUUCAGUAGGUGGUUCAGGUUUGGAAUACAAUUAGCAAUCUGUUCAAAAACACAAAGCUAAGAAUAAAAGAAGAGGCGAUUAAGGUUACA
rnacentral:lncRNA from 1 species